CACAAAAUUAUUCACAAAAAAAACCAAAUUAAGUAGUUAGCAGAAACACCAUGAAAAAUUAAUCAAGAUUAACAUUUUUUUUACUGCAUAAAAAGGCAUGAAAAAUUCACUUCUCUAUGGUACGGUGGUGAGAAAAUAUUUACCCUCUUUGGAUUUAACUGGGGGCAGUGGUGGGUAAGUGGGUGGCUUCACUGGGGGCAGAGGACUGACAGGAGUUGGUGGAGUGGGUGGCUUGACAACUGGAGCUGGUGGUGGAGUGGGCGGCUUGAUCACUGGAACUGGUGAUGGACUGGGUGGCUUGAUUACUGGAACAGGUGGUGGACUGGGUGGCUUAAUCACUGGAAGAGGUGGUGGACUGGGUGGCUUGAUCACUGGAACAGGUGGAGCUGGAGCCUUGACCAGGGGUGGUGGAGCCGGUGCCUUGACUAUUGGAAGCUUAGGAGGAGCUGGUGCAGGUACUAGGACUUUGGAAUAAGCAGCCUGAAAUUAAUUAAAUUUACCACAUUGAAGGUCAAAAACACUCUCAAG
rnacentral:lncRNA from 1 species